GAGGGUAGAGCUCAGUGGUAGAGCUCAUGCUUAGCAUGCAGGAGGUCCUGGGUUCAAUUACCAGUACCUCCA
rnacentral:tRNA from 1 species